CCUACGGGGGGCAGCAGUGAGGAAUAUUGGUCAAUGGGCGCGAGCCUGAACCAGCCAAGUCGCGUGAGGGAAGACGGUCCUAUGGAUUGUAAACCUCUUUUGUCGGGGAGCAAAAGACGCCACGCGUGGCGUUCCGAGAGUACCCGAAGAAAAAGCAUCGGCUAACUCCGUGCCAGCAGCCGCGGUCAUACGGAGGAUGCGAGCGUUAUCCGGAUUUAUUGGGUUUAAAGGGUGCGCAGGCGGAAGAUCAAGUCAGCGGUAAAAUUGAGAGGCUCAACCUCUUCGAGCCGUUGACACUGGUGUUCUUGAGUGAGCGAGAAGUAUGCGGAAGGCGUGGUGUAGCGGUGAAAUGCAUAGAUAUCACGCAGAACUCCGAUUGCGAAGGCAGCAUACCGGCGCUCAACUGACGCUCAUGCACGAAAGUGUGGGUAUCGAACAGGAUUAGAUACCCUUGUAGUC
rnacentral:rRNA from 1 species